UACAGGGGGUGCAAACGUUGCUCGGAAUCAUUGGGCGUAAAGCGCACGUAGGCGGUCUGUCACGUCGGCUGUGAAAUCCCGAGGCUCAACCUCGGGUCUGCAGUCGAUACGGGCAAACUAGAGUAUUGCAGGGGAGACUGGAAUUCCUGGUGUAGCGGUGAAAUGCGCAGAUAUCAGGAGGAACACCGGUGGCGAAGGCGGGUCUCUGGGCAAUAACUGACGCUGAGGAGCGAAAGCGUGGGGAGCGAACAGG
rnacentral:rRNA from 1 species